AAUCCAUGUUGCGGGCACUUUCUCAGGAGCUCCUUGAACCCUUCCCACAUCUCAAAUAGAGACUCCAAUUUCAACUAUACAAAAGAAGAGAUCUCAUUCCUAAGCUU